GACUCAUGCUUUGUUGACUCUAUUACAUCUGCCUUGUAUCAGCUGCACUGACUGCCAGUCUAUUUCCAAAUGCAAUUCAAGGUGCUUGUGCUUGCCUGUAAAGUCCUAAACAGCUCAAGGUGGCUGCACUGGUUGCUGCACUUACAGCAGUAAAGGAUGAAAGGAAUUGCAACACUGAAAGGAUUUUUGCUUAUGAUUGUCUUUCUGGAGUAGAGUUGAAGAACCCCUGCUGUGAAGAAGCCAAUUAUCUGUGGUGUGCAGUUUAAGUGCUGCAAGAUAUUUCCCAAGUCUUUGGAAUUUGCUUCUAUGUAACCUAUCUACAGAAAUAAAAAUAUGAAUGCAAAAAAGAGUUUCAUGUUGAAUUCCUUGGGGAGCAAGGUAACCAUGCCAGGACAUGCAGGUGGUCAGAUCAGAGUUUUCAGUUUAUGUACCAGAUGUUUCUUAUUAGUAAUUAUACAUUAAAAAGCAUAUCCUACAGCUAAUGGACCACAGAGCGAAAAUGGCAGGACAGAUACUAAGGAAAAAUGUGGUAUGUUUUGGAAUACAUUAGAGAGGGACAGAUAUGUCACACUUGAUCUCAUUCAGGUCUCUUUUCUUUACCUCUGAGCUUGUACCAGUUCUAUAUAAUUUCCCCUACCCCACCGUGUAAGAAUUUCUGUGCAGUGUUUUAUUUUAUUUUCAAAUGCACACAUUUUAUAGAUGAACAUUCAUUGACUAACCUACAGAAGAGGUAAGAACAUGUAAGACAACUUGUAACACAAUUGUCUCAUUGCUUGUUGAAUAAGGCUGACUUUAACCAUUGUUUUGUUGUAGGGAAAAGUAUGAACCAUGAGCUAAUAGCCAUGUUGGUUAUUAACUUUUUUAUACGUUUUUGUCUUUAGUUUUUUCUUAGAGACAAGGGAAGGGUUAGUCUGAUAUGUAAACAAUGUUACCUAUGUGUUCUUAUCUAAUCACCAUUUUUCUAUUGUGUUCUAUUUUCUAAUUAGGCAUUUUAAUCAAAACUGAAAUUUAUUAAAAAUAACAUUUGAUGUGCUUUUUCAUUUCAUCUACCUUUUCCUUAUACAUCAUUAAUCUCAUCAUCUUUUGGAAUAUUUACUAAGACUACCAUCUCUUCUUUCUUGUGUGUGUUUUUGCUUAAAGCUUUCUGGACAGGAAUUUCUGGACAGUUUUUAAUUAAAUGUUAUAUUCACUAUAUCCCAGUCACUCAGUUUGUGAUCAGCACAUUCUCCGUGUUUCUUUUAGUUCUGUUCUUGUAGCAUCUGUAGUAAUACCAGCCAAUACUGCUAGGACAGCUGCUGUUUUAUUUUCUCAAAAUUUUCCAGAUUUUGCAGCAGUCCAGAGCGUCGUGGAUAACAAAUGAUGGUGUCACAAGGCAUACAGUAUUCAGAGAGAAUAAAAUAGUAAUCACCAGGGAGUAGCUACAUAGAAGAACUACAUAGCUCCUGCAGAUAAAUAAAUAUCCAUGAAAGAGGUAAAGGAAAACUACCCCAUUAUAUUGCUCUGAAAGUUACUUUUUAAAGUAAUUUAAUUAUCGCUCUUUGGUAUGGUCCAUUUCUGAUUGCAGUCAUAGGAAAAAAGAUAUAACCAUCUGAACAGAACCUGGGAGUUGCUAAGACAGACUGGGAGAAUGGACAUGAACAAAUCAGCUUGUUCCUUAGUACUAACUAACAAGAAUGUGCUGAUCACUUAUCAAGCAAAUGGACUGCAAUGAGAAUAAGAUGUAAAUAAAAACUGGCAGGGAAAUUCCUGUCCAGAAAGGUUUAAGCAAAUGCACACAGGGAAGAAGAGGCAACAGGGUCAUUCCUGUCCUCAGACUAUUUUAAUAGAAUAAAAGUGAAGAGCAAAACAAGGAAUAUGAUCUUAAUGAAGGAAUGAUAUGAUUUUAAUAAAUGUGAUUUUUUUUAAAAAUAAGGAAAUGAAUUAUGCUUUUAAUAAUUUAAAUAAAUUGAAUUAAAAAUUCUACACUCCCACA